AGAAGGAGUUUGAAUGUAUAUGGUCACUACAUGUCUCGGAAAGGUUAUGCCAACCUGGAACAAGAAAUUUCUGGUGGUGAUCCAGAAAUUGAGAUAGACCGGUCAAGCACAUGGCUUCGUGCACGGUGCGAUAAAGCUGGAAAUUAUAAGACAGAUAAAAUUAAGACCAUUGCUGAAGAUAUUGUGAAGAUGAAGCAGAAAGUUCAUGAAGGGGAUGUGAUAGAGUUAGGCACAGAUGAUGUGUUGACCAAAGUUCUUGGGAAUCCUGAGCAC